rnacentral:tRNA from 1 species
GGGGAUAUAGCUCAGUAGUAGAGUGCAUGCUUAGCAUGCACAAGGUCCUGGGUUCAACCCCAGUAUCUCUA